ACGCGUAAGAACUUGCCUCUUAGACCGGGACAACAUCUGGAAACGGAUGCUAAUGCCAGAUAUUAUGGUUUUUUCGCAUGGAGGAAUCAUGAAAGCUAGAUGCGCUAAGAGAGAGCUUUGCGUCCCAUUAGCUCGUUGGUGAGGUAACGGCCCACCAAGGCAAUGAUGGGUAGCCGGCCUGAGAGGGUGAACGGCCACAAGGGGACUGAGACACGGCCCUUACUCCUACGGGAGGCAGCAGUGGGGAAUAUUGGACAAUGGACCACAAGUCUGAUCCAGCAAUUCUGUGUGCACGAUGACGUUUUUCGGAAUGUAAAGUGCUUUCAGUCGGGAAGAAGUCAGUGACGGUACCGACAGAAGAAGCGACGGCUAAAUACGUGCCAGCAGCCGCGGUAAUACGUAUGUCGCAAGCGUUAUCCGGAUUUAUUGGGCGUAAAGCGCGUCUAGGCGGCAAGGAAAGUCUGAUGUGAAAAUGCGGAGCUCAACUCCGUAUGGCGUUGGAAACUGCCUUACUAGAGUACUGGAGAGGUAGGCGGAACUACAAGUGUAGAGGUGAAAUUCGUAGAUAUUUGUAGGAAUGCCGAUGGGGAAGCCAGCCUACUGGACAGAUACUGACGCUAAAGCGCGAAAGCGUGGGUAGCAAACAGGAUUAGAUACCCUGGUAGUCCACGCUGUAAACGAUGAUUACUAGGUGUUGGGGGUCAAACCUCAGCGCCCAAGCUAACGCGAUAAAGUAUCCGCCUGGGGAGUACGUACGCAAGUAUGAAACUCAAAGGAUUGACGGGGACCCGCAC
rnacentral:rRNA from 1 species